UGUCCCGUCUUCUUACGUGCCCCGUACCUCUGCCCUGUGGCUCUUCGAUCUUUGUUCGGAUGUCAGUCAAUAGUCAGAAGUCGUCAUAUGCGGCUGGCUCUCCAUAGUGCAGCUGUGCACAUUAAAAUCAAUUAAAAUUCUUAUUUAUCUUCGAUUCGAGCCGAGCUUAACAAGUGCAGUCAGUGUGAUGGAAGCAGAAACGGUCGCAUCUAUAAAUAUGUAUUAAUGGAAGAGAACACGCAUUGAAAAACUCGAAAAUGCUAUGCACUUGUACAUAUCUUCAAAGUGAAUUACAGAAAAGAAUAAAUUGCUGCGGCUAUGUAACGAUUCCGAAGCAGUACAAGCUCAAUUGUCGUUAAAUAAGCACAAAAAACCAACAAAAAAAGAACACAAAACAUAAGUUGAGCUCUCGAAACUCCAAAGCUAUUCAACUUGAUAAGUAAUUAAAUUAAUUAAUUUUCAUGUGCUGCCGAUUGUCGUCGAUUCUUGAUUUAUCUGUGCGUGCAAUGAGGCAACUUGUAGAUGCAUUUUUCUUUGCGAAGGCCCCAUUCUAAGUGAACAAUUUGAAGUUGACAAUAUAGGCGAUAUAGCAUAGCCAUGAUCUUUGGUAUAUGUUCCUGUUAGGGAGUGUUACGAGAACUCCCAAAACAAUUUGGACAUCAACAUCAAUUAUGUGUUCUAAACAAGCUUUCGAGUAGCUCCCCAACAGUCUACGCACACAGAACACUAAAGUGGAAAACACAAACAAAUACACCGCAUUCCUUGUUUCUUGGCCACAAAAAAAGUGAAGGGUAAAAAAAAUUGGAAAUAAUUUUAUCACUGUGGGUAUUAUAGGUAACGAAAAAAAAUGCUAACUAAAGUGUAUAUAUAUAACGUAUACGCCUUCAAAGGAGAGACUCGUAUUUUAAAAGAAACUAAGUCAUAUAAAUUCCUUAAAAAAUUAGUAUUAACAUAUCUUAUCAGAGACUGGUCGUAAUGGCACAUUCGUUACCUCUUUUUUAAUUCAUAUGGAAUUACCUGAAACUAUUUCAACCGCAUAAAUAAUUAAUUUAUCUUUCACAGCAUCAUAAGCUGGCAUCGUACUCCAAAAACAACAAAAUGGGAAAAUACUUUAUAAACUUUCACAGUAAAAAAUUGUGUGGUAAAAAAAUUAUACAAUACACAAUUUAUGACUAAGACACAGCCACGCAUUGCUAAGUUAUUGAUUUUUUACAGCUUGGAUUUCGAUACAAUUUCAAAUUCCAGUUACAAAUAAAAUCAAUUUUAAUGGUUUGCAAAUCGAGUGCUCGAAGGUCACGCAAUGCGAGAGACAACGCACAUUUCAAAGAAAAAAGGCAUAAAAAAUAAUAAUAAUAAUCAGACAGGUGACAAUAACAAGAGCAGCAACAAAAACCAAUCCGAGCAACUUGUACAGCUUGUGUCGGCCCACAAAAUGGAACACGCGCCAUUGAAACAGACAACUCUCAGGCAGCGCAGCGAAGUAAGUCAAAGUUAAGGCAAACGCAUUAAGCAUACGCACUGUGUGACGGCCGUUUUGGAAUGGAGGAGCAUUGAGCUUUGAACUAUCAGUCAACAUAUGUAUAUACCAACCACAUUUAAAGAAAAAACAAUUUCUAAUUGAUCAGUGAUGGAUUUUUAUUGAUAAAUCAUAGAUUACCUCAUCAUGACAAGCAGAAAAGGGACAAGCGCUGAUUAAGUUAUGCUGGUAAACACAACGUGGCCAUCCAGAAAUAUUGGAGUACCCAAAAACUUGAGAUUCACGAAAAAUAAUACGCACAUUUAUCAAGAUUCCCCUCCAUUUAUUUUUGCCACAGAAAUUUGUAGUUAAAUUGUAUUUGUAAGACAUUUCGCCUAGGACUAUUUCCCACGUCCAUUUAAAAUAAGCUAUUAAAGCCCUAACGCGUCUAAGAAGCCAAUUCGAAGCACGGACCCAUCCCAUAUCCAUAGCGCUGCAUUCAAGUGCAAUUCCAAGGUGCACUUAUGGCCCACUCCCAGCACCAGCUAAGCGCCCUGUUUGAACAAGUGUUGGAGAAUUUGUUUCCACAAUGGAUGCGAUGUGUGGGCAUGCAUGAGUUUUGCUUUUAUGUUCAAUUACUUGUAUUAACCCAUUAACAUACUGAGCUCAUGCCUAACUAUAAUCCCAGCCGGGUAAUGUUACAAAGUAAGUACAAAUGUUAAAUCAAGACUAAAGCGUCAAGUUCCCUUUCACUUGCAAUACAUGAUAUUAAUGACCGAUACUUCGCGAAUCGAGUUAGUGUGCAGUUUGUGUAUUUUUUCUGUUUGACCAUAAAAUGCUUCAUUCGGCUUCUGUAAAACAUCUCAAUCUCCAAACGCAUUCCAGCCACCAUCCGGACUCCGGAGGGGAGGAAACAUACAAAAUGCCAGCUGACACACACCGAGCAUGCGUACGUGAUUUUGGAUUUAAUUAAGUUUAA